rnacentral:rRNA from 1 species
CUAUACAUGCAAGUCGAGCGGACAGAUGGGAGCUUGCUCCCUGAUGUUAGCGGCGGACGGGUGAGUAACACGUGGGUAACCUGCCUGUAAGACUGGGAUAACUCCGGGAAACCGGGGCUAAUACCGGAUGCUUGAUUGAACCGCAUGGUUCAAUUAUAAAAGGUGGCUUUUAGCUACCACUUACAGAUGGACCCGCGGCGCAUUAGCUAGUUGGUGAGGUAACGGCUCACCAAGGCAACGAUGCGUAGCCAACCUGAGAGGGUGAUCGGCCACACUGGGACUGAGACACGGCCCAAACUCCUACGGGAGGCAGCAGUAGGGAAUCUUCCGCAAUGGACGAAAGUCUGACGGAGCAACGCCGCGGGAGUGAUGAAGGUUUUCGGAUCGUAAAACUCUGUUGUUAGGGAAGAACAAGUACCGUUCGAAUAGGGCGGUACCUUGACGGUACCUAACCAAAAAGCCACGGCUAACUACGUGCCAGCAGCCGCGGUAAUACGUAGGUGGCAAGCGUUGUCCGGAAUUAUGGGGCGUAAAGCGCGCGCAGGCGGUUUCUUAAUUCUGAUGUGAAAGCCCCCGGCUCACCCGGGGAGGGUCAUUGGAAACUGGGGAACUUGAGUGCAAAAAAGGAGAGUGGAAUUCCACGUGUAGCGUUGAAAUGCGUAAAGAUGUGGAGGAACACCAUUGGCGAAGGCAACUCUCUGGUCUGUAACUGACGCUGAGGCGCGAAAGCGUGGGGAGCGAACAGGAUUAGAUACCCUGGUAGUCCACGCCGUAAACGAUGAGUGCUAAGUGUUAGAGGGUUCCCGCCCUUUAGUGCUGCAGCAAACGCAUUAAGCACUCCGCCUGGGGAGUACGGUCGCAAGACUUGAAACUCAAAGGAAUUGACGGGGGCCCCACAAG